CCGCCGCCGCAGCGACCUCGCGCCGUCGCCUGCCCGCCUUCCCCAAUCGAUGGUGCUCCUCGCCCCUCCCCUAUCCAUCUCUCCCCUGCGCCACUUCCUCCACGUUUGGACCGGGUAGAAGGAGCUCGUCGGCCGUCGGUGUAGCGCGAGAUCUGCGCAAAUGGAGAUUCACGGGCGCCGAUGCGGUUUCCACUCUGCCCCCCGGUCACCGUCGCCCUCCCAGCAAGCAAAGAAAAGGGGCAGCGCUGGAGAGGAGACAUAGACGGGGGAGCGGAUUGGUUGUGGUCUUGGGUGGUGAGGGGUGGAAGUUGAAGUGCCUCACCUUGUUGAGCAGAUAGGGCAAGUGCGACCGCUUCCUCGACCUCGAUGUCAGAUUGGAAGCGACAUAGAGAUAGUUGUUCUCAAGGUUUUCCAUGCUACCCAGUGGUACAAAUUUGGGAUGAAUAUGGCUUGCUUACUAAAAAUAAGAGAUCUAAAUAAGUUUUGCUGAUUAUUUCUGGUUGGUUAUGAUCUCUGUUAGAAGUAUUAAUCUUCUU